UAAGUUGAAAGAUUGCGGCUGUUUGAUCGGCGAUUUUAUUAACCGCAGCAACAUUUGAUAAAUUAGCCUAAUACCUGCUAAAGCCUAAAAGAUCAUUUUAAUUUGGGACUUUUCCAGAACCUGUACAUUUGAACCUCUCUCAAACACCCUAAUCCACAAAUCCUCUUUCUCCCACAAACCCUUACCAAUCCGUUGUCUUUCAUUGCGGCGUCACCAUCAUCACUCAACGUGACGUCGUCGUCAUUGUUGCCACUCUAUCUUGGAAGUUGACAAUUUUCCGCCGCUUCUUCACCGAAAUCGCUGCUCCUUCACCAUCCUUCACCAAUCGUUGUUUGUUGCCGCUUUGCCAUGGCUCCAUCGUCUCUUUGUCGUGCUUCCUUUCCGUUAUCGAGGACCCUGAAACAAAUAAAGUUUGCUGCUUGAUCAUGUGACUUAUCAGAUGAUUUUGGGGGUUGUUGAACUCAAGUUAUGUGCUUCAGAUUUUUUAACAAUUGGUUCACAUUACAUGCAUUUGAAAAAGUUUGUGGGUCUUUCUUGCUCACCGUCACUACUCUGUUUCAUCCUCUCCUCUUAUCUGAUGUUAAAGGGCCAUGAUGAUAACACAAAGUAUUGAGGUCUGGAAGGUUACUCUUAACACACAAAGUAUUGAGGAUGAUCCAGAAUGUGGAAAGCUUGCUAACUUUGUAACCUUAACUAAUUACAGGCUAUUGAUUUUAGUAUUAAUAAGCGUGUCGUGUGGGGAUUAAUAUUCAAUGAAUCAGCGUGUGAGUGAUGAGGUAAUGGCAGAAGUUACAGCAGAAACAAGAAAAGAGUAUUACUAGUGUGUUGGUUUGGAGCUAAUGAAUAUGAAAAAGGAGCUUAUUUAUUGAUUUGUCAAAGUGAUUAAUACAUCAAUGCAAGAUUAUUUUAUUGUUAGUUUAAAGGUGAAUAUUACUAUGACCUCAAAUGGAUUCAAUUUGUACUCAAACAUUGUAAUUAGAUUUUAUGAUCAAUUAUUGAUUAUUAUGUUUA